GGUGUGUCUCUCUCCUCCGCAGAGGCUUUUAAAGAAUAUGAAAUUCGAAGGAAUUGAAAGUUGUCUUCAUACCAGAUACCUUCUAGCGCAAUUCCAAUUCCUUCGAAUUUCACAUUCUUUAAAAGCCUCUGCGGAGGAGAGAGUGGGUGU